rnacentral:rRNA from 1 species
AGUGAACGCUGGCGGUAGGCCUAACACAUGCCAGUCGAACGGCAGCACAGUAAGAGCUUGCUCUUACGGGUGGCGAGUGGCGGACGGGUGAGGAAUACAUCGGAAUCUACUUUUUCGUGGGGGAUAACGUAGGGAAACUUACGCAAAUACCGCAUACGACCUACGGGUGAAAGCAGGGGAUCUUCGGACCUUGCGCGAUUGAAUGAGCCGAUGUCGGAUUAGCUAGUUGGCGGGGUAAAGGCCCACCAAGGCGACGAUCCGUAGCUGGUCUGAGAGGAUGAUCAGCCACACUGGAGCUGAGACACGGUCCAGCCUCCUACGGGAGGCAGCAGUGGGGAAUAUUGGACAAUGGGCGCAAGCCUGAUCCAGCCAUACCGCGUGGGUGAAGAAGGCCUUCGGGUUGUAAAGCCCUUUUGUUGGGAAAGAAAAGCAGCAGGUUAAUACCCCGCUGUUCUGACGGUACCCAAAGAAUAAGCACCGGCUAACUUCGU